CACGUAGGCACCAAGCGUUGUCCGGAUUUAUUGGGCGUAAAGAGCUCGUAGGCGGUUCAGUAAGUCGGGUGUGAAAACUCUGGGCUCAACCCAGAGACGCCACCCGAUACUGCUGUGACUUGAGUACGGGUAGGGGAGUGGGGAAUUCCUGGUGUAGCGGUGAAAUGCGCAGAUAUCAGGAGGAACACCAGUGGCGAAGGCGCCACUCUGGGCCGUAACUGACGCUGAGGAGCGAAAGCGUGGGUAGCAAACAGG
rnacentral:rRNA from 1 species